AAUCAACGCUGGCGGCGUGCCUAACACAUGCAAGUCGAACGCGAAAGCCCGCAAGGGUAAGUAGAGUGGCGCACGGGUGAGUAACACGUGGACAACCUGCCUUCGAGUGGGGAAUAACCUUCCGAAAGGAGGGCUAAUACCGCAUAACACCUCGGGACACAAGUUCUGGGGUUGAAAAGAGCAAUUUGCUCGAAGAGGGGUCCGCGCCUGAUUAGCUAGUUGGUGAGGUAACGGCUCACCAAGGCUUCGAUCAGUAGCCGUCCUGAGAGGGAGCACGGCCACACUGGAACUGAGACACGGUCCAGACUCCUACGGGAGGCAGCAGUGGGGAAUUUUUGGCAAUGGGCGAAAGCCUGACCAAGCAACGCCGCGUGGGUGAUGAAGUAUCUUGGUACGUAAAACCCUUUCGGCAGGGACGAACCUAAUGACGGUACCUGCGGAAGAAGCCCCGGCUAACUCCGUGCCAGCAGCCGCGGUAAUACGGGGGGGGCAAGCGUUGUUCGGAAUUACUGGGCGUAAAGGGCGCGUAGGCGGUUGGAUAAGUCAGCUGUGAAAACCACGGGCUUAACUCGUGGCCUGCAGUUGAAACUGUCUGGCUUGAGUGUGGGAGAGGAGAGUGGAAUUCCUGGUGUAGCGGUGAAAUGCGU
rnacentral:rRNA from 1 species